UCCACUGCCCAACUGCCCACUCUUCCAGGAUACAGAUGAUUACUUGAAUUUCAAAGAAUUGGAACCAAAGGACCCAUAUUAUGAAGUCAAGAGAGAAGAAGUUGUAAAGAAGCUGGAAACCCUGCAACAAGAAUCAGCUGCCCUACUCCAAAAUGUGCCUGGCCUCAACCCAAUGGAAAUUCCAGCUGAAAUGAUGCUCAAACCACCAUUCACUACCUGAAAACUCUUUCAUUUUCCUUUACUACAAAGAGUAAAAGGUCAAACUGAUAACAUAAGAUCUCCCCUCCCCAAAAAAUUGUAUGCGACACCUAAAUUAUAUUGCAGUUUUGCCUUCACAGUGGCAGAUGCUAGUUGACAAUCCAUACUGGUUUGGAGUUCUUGGUCCAGUCUAGUGAGACUUCUAUGUAUCUUUCCCAAUUGUGUCUCCUUUAUUGUGGAAGAACACCCUAUAGAUUCAUUAUGAAUACUUAUAUCCUUUAUCAGGGAUAUAUAUUGUGAAGAAGCUAAGUAUUGAUUUUAUUUUAUGAAAUGAAUUAAUAUAGACAAGAUUUUUUGGUUCUCGAAGAAAUUCUUUUGAAUACAAAUAUCUAAGAAUCAUUCCAUGUCUGGUUAUCACUAAUUAAUUUGUGAGCUAAACCAACACAUUUAAACAUUGUAUAAUUUAUUUCAAUAAACAUAUGCAUAGA